ensembl:lncRNA
GCACUCAUGGAUAUUGGCUUUCAGCUCUGGGUGCAAGCUGUUGCCUUUUCUGUUGCUGGUGUCCUAAAUGAUGGGGCACAGAUGAAAAUAAAUGGAGAAACUAUCUCCUUCUCUAGAAUGGCCCUUAUUGAGCAGAAAACAACACAGCAGGUGUUGGUGAAAAUUUGCAGAAAAGAACUCUGACAUGCUACCAAUGGAAGUAAAAUUAGUAAGGCUAGGUGGACCAGAGCGUCAUCAUACACAGCGACAGACCAGCAUCUAGGACAGCUACCCACUGUACUUACGAGGCACCACUGCGUAAGCACCUUCAACUCAUUAGGAUUUCCUGUGAUUCCUCAUACAACUGAGUUUACAUCUAGAUCUUCCUUUUUGCCUGGUUUAAGGGGCCUCUUUCUAAAUCAAGAGUUCUCCUCUUCCCUCUUUUCCUACCUAGUUCUGAAUUAACUAUUCUUUAUGAUUCUUGUUUUAUAAAACCAAUAGAUGAUAGUGGCAUCUGUUUUUAAUACAGUGGGAAUAUAUAACCUUAGCAAUACUAAUGAAAAUAAAC